GCCAGGCGCAGUGGCACAUGCCUGUAGUCCCAGGUACACAGGAGGCUGAGGUGGGUAGAUGGGUUGAGCCCAGAAGUUCUGGGCUGUAGUGCACUAUGCCAAUCACAUGUCUGCACUAAGUUCGACAUCAAUAUGGUGACCUCCCGGGAGCAGGGGACCACCAGGUUGCCUAAGGAGGCGUGAACCAGCCCAGGUCAGAAAUGGAGCAGGUCAAAACUCCUGUGCUGAUCAGUAGUGACAUCGUGCCUGUGAAUAGCCAUUGCACUCCAGCCUGGGCAACACGGCAAAACCCCGUCUCU
rnacentral:SRP_RNA from 1 species